rnacentral:lncRNA from 1 species
UUCCAACCUCAAUUAUUCUCUAAGUAGCCUCCAGUAGUGGAAGUGAAGCACUCUGCUUUUUGGCUGGGUCAUUCCCAGCUAGCAUCCCACCUGGUCUAGCUCUGCAGUCUGUCUGGAUGACAGUGCCAGGUUCUUAUUUGCCUCAGAGAAAGAGCCCAUAAUGGUGUUUUUUAAUCACUGGAGUUUUACUGGGAGAGAGAAAACUGGAGUUUUCUGAUGAAGUCUGUCUCAACUAGUGCAGAUGGAUUUUUCUUCCUACUGAAACAAAACAGUUAAGUUCUGACCUGCCCUUUAUCUUUAAAGAAUUUUAAUCUUUUGAUCAAGCAAAAAAUAGUGGUGUUCAAACUCUCUAAACUUUGUUGUUUCCCUGUCUCCCCACGUAUCUUCCUACUUGCCAGUGACCGUUCAUUGCCAAUUCCUUAUGGAUAACAUGUUACAGGAACGACUGCAUCAAUGUGUUGCUGAGCAAGCUUUAUUGGCACCUUGGAAAUGGGGCACAUCUUGAUCCAAAAGCUCUGGACAGGGUUGGUGAUCACUGGCUGAGGACUGGUGACAGAACUCCUCUCCAUAGUUCUCAAGGAGGCACCUUCAGCUGGUAAAAAGCACAAAAAGCCAAUUUCAUCAUGCAGAUCAGUCUCUCCUGUUCUUGAGAAACAAGGUCUCUUCAGCUUAGAGGGAUGUAGGAGCUUCUGUUUUUACAAGUAAGUCCAGCAGAUGUAAACCAAAGUGGCCUCUAAACAACAGAAUUGAAUAAAUGGUUUUUAAUGGUUAUUAUUCGGGGUUGCUGCAAGAUCAAAUAUGAGUGACAACAUAGAAGAAAUAAAGAGGAGUGAAAGGUAAUUCAGUUUGCUGUAGUGUUCCUUUCUUCCAUUCCACUUCUCUCUCUGCAGAGAAACACAAAGCAGCUGUUUAUUCUUUUCCUACUCUCUCAGUUCUUUCCAAUCUAGGUAAAAAAUCUAAGUAAUUAGACUAUAAUAUAAAUGCUGGUGGUGAGCAAUUGAUUUUCACACUUCUCUGUAGCAGAUGGAACCAUAGUGCAGAUAACCAGCGCAGUUGCACCACACUAAUGACCACCUGAGUUUUCACAAGUAAUUUGUCUUUACUGCAGCAUAAAACCUUUGAUUUUUUAACAACCAGGAACAUAUUUCCCUGUUAAGGCUUUAAGCUUUGGUGACUGAAUGCAACCAUUUACCUUUAAAGCCUCAAUGAAUAUCUGCUGAAAAAAAUGAUAGUUUGUCCUUCAGCUUCCCCGAGUCCUCUGGUGCAAUUAAGCUCCUCUACAGAGGCAUCAUGUUAGGAUUUAUCUCACCUUAGGUAUUUCUAGGAUAGACAUCUACUGCUGGGUAGUCUAGAC